rnacentral:rRNA from 1 species
UACGAAGGGGGCUAGCGUUGUUCGGAUUUACUGGGCGUAAAGCGCACGUAGGCGGAUCGUUAAGUCGGGGGUGAAAUCCUGGAGCUCAACUCCAGAACUGCCUUCGAUACUGGCGAUCUCGAGUCCGGAAGAGGUGAGUGGAACUCCUAGUGUAGAGGUGGAAUUCGUAGAUAUUAGGAAGAACACCAGUGGCGAAGGCGGCUCACUGGUCCGGUACUGACGCUGAGGCACGAAAGCGUGGGGAGCAAACAGG